GACGAACGCUGGCGGCGUGCCUAAUACAUGCAAGUUGAGCGCUGAAGGUUGGUACUUGUACCAACUGGAUGAGCAGCGAACGGGUGAGUAACGCGUGGGGAAUCUGCCUUUGAGCGGGGGACAACAUUUGGAAACGAAUGCUAAUACCGCAUAAAAACUUUAAACACAAGUUUUAAGUUUGAAAGAUGCAAUUGCAUCACUCAAAGAUGAUCCCGCGUUGUAUUAGCUAGUUGGUGAGGUAAAGGCUCACCAAGGCGAUGAUACAUAGCCGACCUGAGAGGGUGAUCGGCCACAUUGGGACGGAGACACGGCCCAAACUCCUACGGGAGGCAGCAGGAGGGAAUCUUCGGCAAUGGACGAAAGUCUGACCGAGCAACGCCGCGGGAGGGAAGAAGGUUUUCGGAUCGGAAAACUCUGUUGGUAGAGAAGAACGUUGGUGAGAGUGGAAAGCUCAUCAAGUGACGGUAACUACCCAGAAAGGGACGGCUAACUACGUG
rnacentral:rRNA from 1 species